GACCUACGGGGCGCAGCAGUGAGGGAUAUUGGUCAAUGGGGGAAACCCUGAACCAGCAACGCCGCGUGAGGGAGGACGGUUUUCGGAUUGUAAACCUCUGUCCUCUGUGAAGAUAAUGACGGUAGCAGAGGAGGGAGCUCCGGCUAACUACGUGCCAGCAGCCGCGGUAAUACGUAGGGAGCAAGCGUUGUCCGGAUUUACUGGGUGUAAAGGGUGCGUAGGCGGCUUUGCAAGUCAGAAGUGAAAUCCAUGGGCUUAACCCAUGAACUGCUUUUGAAACUGCAGAGCUUGAGUGGAGUAGAGGG
rnacentral:rRNA from 1 species